CUUACUAGCACCUUUUUUUAUUUGUAUUUUCUGCUGAUAUGCUUUUGUAACUUCUCCUAUUCAUCAGCCGCCUUCUUGUCUGGAUUAACACUGCACACAAACGUGAUAUUGGGAAAGUGAAAAAUUGGAGGGUGUUUGACCCCAUUUACUCAUGCCUUAAAGAAUAUUGUAAUAAUUACAUUACAGCUAAGACUUUUGGACAGUGAAUCAAAGAGCUUUACUUUGACAAUCCAGAAGGAAAAACAGAAGCUCCACCAAAUCACUGAAAUCAGAUCUUAUGAUAUAAGGACUCACACACCUACCAUUUCAGUGAGAUUUUAGAAACAUUUAACCAAGGUACAGUUUUUCUGAG
rnacentral:sRNA from 1 species